CAGCAGCAGCCGCGGUAAAACCAGCACCUCGAGUGGUCAGGAGGUUUAUUGGGCCUAAAGCAUCCGUAGCCGGUUGCAUAAGUUUUCGGUUAAAUCUAUGCGCUUAACGUAUAGGCCGCCGAAAAUACUGUGCAGCUAGGGAGUGGGAGAGGUACACGGUACUCGAUAGGAAGGGGUAAAAUCCUUUGAUCUAUUGAUGACCACCUGUGGCGAAGGCGGUGUACCAGAACACGUUCGACGGUGAGGAAUGAAAGCUGGGGGAGCAAACCGGAUUAGAUACCCCGGUAGUCCCUGUCUUCUUAUA
rnacentral:rRNA from 1 species